rnacentral:rRNA from 1 species
CCAGCUCCAAUAGCGUAUAUUAAAGUUGUUGCAGUUAAAACGCUCGUAGUCUGAUGUAAUGGRGAYUGGMGUGGGGAGCAGCRAUGCUCUUUGCUUCGGUCYYCAUCAAGGGGACAGCAAUGUCCCAUUUUACUUUGAGGAAAUUAGAGUGUUCAAAGCAGGCGAUUGCUUGAAUACUGCAGCAUGGAAUAAUGGAAUAGGACUCGCGUCUUAUUUUGUUGGUUUGGAGAUGUGAGUAAUGAUGAAUAGGGACAGUUGGGGGCAUUGGUAUUCAGUAGUCAGAGGUGAAAUUCUUGGAUUUACUGAAGACUAACUAGUGCGAAAGCAUUUGCCAAGGAUGUUUUCAUUGAUCAAGAACGAAAGUUAGGGGAUCGAAGACGAUUAGAUACCGUCGUAGUCUUAACCAUAAACGAUGCCGACUAGGGAUCGGCGGAUGACGUUUAGCGUUGCCGCCGGGACCUUGCGAGAAAUCAAAGUUUUUGGGUUCUGGGGGGAGUAUGGUCGCAAGGCUGAAACUUAAAGGAAUUGACGGAAGGGCACCACCAGGAGUGGAGCCUGCGGCUUAAUUCGACUCAAC